rnacentral:piRNA from 1 species
AAGUAUUAGAGGCAAUGCCUGCCC